rnacentral:rRNA from 1 species
GACGAACGCUGGCGGCGUGCCUAAUACAUGCAAGUCGAGCGAAUGGAUUAAGAGCUUGCUCUUAUGAAGUUAGCGGCGGACGGGUGAGUAACACGUGGGUAACCUGCCCAUAAGACUGGGAUAACUCCGGGAAACCGGGGCUAAUACCGGAUAACAUUUUGAACCGCAUGGGUCGAAAUUGAAAGGCGGCUUCGGCUGUCACUUAUGGAUGGACCCGCGUCGCAUUAGCUAGUUGGUGAGGUAACGGCUCACCAAGGCAACGAAGCGUAGCCGACCUGAGAGGGUGAGCGGCCACACUGGGACUGAGCCACGGCCCAGACUCCUACGGGAGGCAGCAGUAGGGAAUCUUCCGCAAUGGACGAAAGUCUGACGGAGCAACGCCGCGUGAGUGAUGAAGGCUUUCGGGUCGUAAAACUCUGUUGUUAGGGAAGAACAAGUGCUAGUUGAAUAAGCUGGCACCUUGACGGUACCUAACCAGAAAGCCACGGCUAACUACGUGCCAGCAGCCGCGGUAA